rnacentral:misc_RNA from 1 species
GAUGAAGAACGCAGCGAAAUGCGAUAAGUAAUGUGAAUUGCAGAAUUCAGUGAAUCAUCGAAUCUUUGAACGCACAUUGCGCCCGCCAGUAUUCUGGCGGGCAUGCCUGUUCGAGCGUCAUUUCAACCAUCAAGCCCCCGGCUUGUGUUGGGGACCUGCGGCUGCCGCAGGCCCUGAAAAGCAGUGGCGGGCUCGCUGUCACACCGAGCGUAGUAGAUUUCAUCUCGCUCAGGGCGUGCUGCGGGUUCCGGCCGUUAAACCACCUUCAUAACCCAAGGUUGACCUCGGAUCAGGUAGGAAGACCGGCUGAACUUAAGCAUAUCAAUAAGCGGAGGA